rnacentral:piRNA from 1 species
UAAAAAGCUUAGCCUGGGAUGUCUAUC